CAGUCGCCACGGGAAUACGAAGGGUGCAAGCGUUACUCGGAAUUACUGGGCGUAAAGCGUGCGUAGGUGGUCGUUUAAGUCUGUUGUGAAAGCCCUGGGCUCAACCUGGGAACUGCAGUGGAAACUGGACGACUAGAGUGUGGUAGAGGGUAGCGGAAUUCCUGGUGUAGCAGUGAAAUGCGUAGAGAUCAGGAGGAACAUCCAUGGCGAAGGCAGCUACCUGGACCAACACUGACACUGAGGCACGAAAGCGUGGGGAGCAAACAGGAUUAGAUACCCCUGUAGUCCCUGUCUCUUAUAC
rnacentral:rRNA from 1 species